GACGAACGCUGGCGGCGUGCCUAAUACAUGCAAGUCGAACGCAGUGGGGACGGGUGAGUCACACGUGGGUAACCUCCCCAUCAGCGGGGAUACCACUUGGACACAGGUGCUCAACCGAUAUUGAUGGAUGGACCCGCGGUGCAUUAGCUAGUUGGUGAGGUAACGGCUCACCAAGGCCACGAGGCAUAGCCGACCUGAGAGGGGGAUCGGCCACAUGUGGAAUGGGACACGGCCCAGACUCCUACGGGAGGCAGCGGUAGGGAAUCUUCGGCAAUGGACGAAAGUCUGACCGAGCAACGCCGCGUGAGUGAAGAAGGUUUUCGGAUCGUAAAACUCUGUUGUUAGAGAAGCGGUAUCUAACCAGAAAUCCACGGCUAAGUACGAGCCAGCCGCCGCGGUAAUAC
rnacentral:rRNA from 1 species